UGGUUGUCGCUGGCCUUUGUUGGCAUGUGCACGCCUUCUCUUUCAUCCACACACACCUGUGCACCUGUGAGACAGAUGGGGGAAUUUAUUUACUUUUUUUUUUCUUUGGAAAAAAUAAUAAUUAUUGGACCCCUCUGUCUACUUAAUUCAUAUAAACUCAAUUUAUUUAAAAAAUGAAUGUAGUGGAUGUAACACAUCUAAUACUAAGUUUCAACAACGGAUCUCUUGGCUCUCGCAUCGAUGAAGAACGCAGCGAAAUGCGAUAAGUAAUGUGAAUUGCAGAAUUCAGUGAAUCAUCGAAUCUUUGAACGCACCUUGCGCUCCUUGGUAUUCCUUGGAGCAUGCCUGUUUGAGUAUCAUGAAAUCUUCAAAGUAAAUCUUUUGUUAAUUCAAUUGGUUCUACUUUGGUAUUGGAGGUCUUUUGCAGCUUCACACCUGCUCCUCUUUGUGCAUUAGCUGGAUCUCAGUGUUAUGCUUGGUUCCACUCAGCGUGAUAAGUUAUCUAUCGCUGAGGACACUGUAAAAAGUGGCCAGGGUAAAUGCAGAUGAGCCGCUUCUAAUAGUCCAUUGACUUGGACAAUAUUAUUAUGAUCUGAUCUCAAAUCAGGUAGGACUACCCGCUGAAC
rnacentral:rRNA from 1 species